AGAGUUUGAUCAUGGCUCAGAACGAACGUUGGCGGCGUGGCUUAGGCAUGCAAGUCGAACGAGAAAGUUUCUUUCGGGAAGCGGAGUAGAAGUGGCAAAGGGUGAGUAAUGAUUAGUUAACCUACCCCUAAAACUGGGAUAACUACCCGAAAGGGUGCUAAUACCGGAUGGUCUAUGAGGGUCGCAUGAUUUUCAUAGUAAAGGUGCUCGCAAGGGUAUCGAUUAGGGAGGGGAUUAAUUCCUAUUAGCUAGUUGGUGAGGUAACGGCUCUACCAAGGCAUUGAUGGGUAACCGAUCUGAGAGGAUGACCGGUCACACUGGGACUGAGACACUGCCCAGACUCCUACGGGAGGCUGCAGUCGCGAAUAUUCCGCAAUGGACGCAAGUCUGACGGAGCGACGCCGCGUGUGGGAUGAAGGCCUUAGGGUUGUAAACCACUGUCACACUUUAAGAAAGCAUUUAGGGUAACUCCUAGAUGUUGACAAAGGAGUGGAAGGAAGUCACGGCUAACUACGUGCCAGCAGCCGCGGUAAUACGUAGGUGGCAAACGUUGUUCGGAAUUACUGGGCAUAAAGAGUUUGUAGGCGGCUUAAUAAGUCAGGUGUGAAAUCCCGGGGCUCAACUUCGGAACGGCAUUUGAUACUGUUAGGCUAGAAUAACGGAGAGGUGAGUAGAAUUCAUGGUGUAGCGGUGAAAUGCGUUGAUAUCAUGGAGAAUACCAAUGGCGAAGGCAGCUCACUGGCCGAUUAUUGACGCUGAGAAACGAAAGCUAGGGUAGCGAAAGGGAUUAGAUACCCCUGUAGUCCUAGCCCUAAACGAUGUACAUUGUAUGGUGGGAAUCUUGCAUUUUCACUGUAGCAGCUAAUGCGUUAAAUGUACCGCCUGGGGAGUAUGGUCGCAAGGCUAAAACUCAAAGGAAUUGACGGGGGCUCACACAAGCGGUGGAGCAUGUUGUUUAAUUCGAAGAUACGCGAAGAACCUUACCCAGACUUGACAUGUACGGAUUAGAUUGCAGAAAUGUGAUUGACACCCUUUCUGGGUGGAACGUACACAGGUGUUGCAUGGCUGUCGUCAGCUCGUGUCGUGAGAUGUGAGGUUAAGUCCUUUAACGAGCGCAACCCCUAUCUUCUGUUACCAUCGCGUUAUGGCGGGGACUCUGGAGAGACUGCCGGUGUUAAACCGGAGGAAGGCGGGGACGACGUCAAGUCAUCAUGGCCCUUAUGUCUGGGGCUACAAACGUGCUACAAUGCGGAGUACAACGGGGUGCGAUACAGUAAUGUGGAGCAAAUCUCUAAAAACUUCGCCUAGUUCAGAUUGUGGUCUGAAACUCGACCACAUGAAGCCGGAAUCGCUAGUAAUCGCGGGUCAGCACGCCACGGUGAAUACGUUCCCGGGCCUUGUACACACCGCCCGUCACACCAUGGGAGUUGGCUUUACCUGAAGACGGUGCGCUAACCAGCAAUGGAGGCAGCCGGCCACGGUAGGGUCAGCGACUGGGGUGAAGUCGUAACAAGGUAGCCG
rnacentral:rRNA from 1 species